rnacentral:lncRNA from 1 species
GAGUAUUGUUUUAGAGAAGGAUCGAAUUACAUUGUAAUUCCAACUGAAUAGGUUCUCCGAACAAACUUCUACAUUAGCUUGGGUAGCUAUGACAUAUGGUUAGAUGUCACUCAUAGCUUGUGAGUUCUUCUAGAUGAUUAAAUGUAGUCGUCAAAAGAAAAAGGUGAAUUAAAAUGAAGUUUUAAUUCACUAAGUGAUUGGAAUUAAAUAUAAUCAAUUGGAUUGAUGCCAAUCACCUCACUGCCUUGCUAAUUAGAACCUAAAAUGAUUGUACACCGAUACACUCUUGUAGUGAGUAAUUAAUGGAUGAUGGAAAUAAUUAAUUGGAUUAAUUAAGUGUUGUGAUUAAUUUAGAAAGUCUAAAGAAAUCAUAAAAAGCGAUAAAAGAUCGUUUUGGGCUUAAAGAAACGUUCGGGUUUAAUUGGGCCCAUUGGGCCUAAACCCAUUGGGCUUUUAUUCAAGCAUUGGAUGACUUGAAAUAAUAAAAGCCCAAAGCCCAAACCAAACACUAAAGGGGCCGGCCACUUAAAGGGAAAGGGAGAGAUAUUUAGUCAAGUUGUUGACUAGGUUUCUUUUGUCUAUAUAAGGAACUUUAUAGAGAUAAAGUUCAUUAGGGUUUUUUGUGUGUUUAAAACAACAAAGAGGCAAAAAAAAUAUCUCUCUAAAACACUACAAAGGCCGGCCACCUUGGGGUGUUUUUUACUAACAUCAUCUUUCACCCUUUUGGUUAUUCCUCCAUCCAUUCUCACUACACUAGUGGGUGUGGAUCUUUAGAGGUUUCUACUUUGGAAACUUNAAGAUAUUACUAUAUCCCAGGAUCAGAACCAAAGCAACUGAAAGAGUAUUAUUGCCUUUAAGAAAGAAACAUCAGAGUGGGACUCUGGAAGCGUGCAUUCACUUAGGUUGUUAACCAAAGUGAAAAUAAGCCAUUUUAACAAAUGGAACUUCAUAAUGGAUGAAGUACUAAUCAUAUGAAUGAUUGUUAGUAUUGUACUACAAUGGUCUCAAGGUUGGAGCAAAGUUUGUAUAUAGUAUACAAAUGAAAUAUAUGUCGAUAUAUAGUUUUAGAAACUGCUUCAAAAGGUGUUUUGAAUGGAAGAGGUUCUUUUAGAACCAAUGAUUGAAUCCAAACCAUAAGGUCGUUAGUAGGAUACUACGACGUAAUGGGGCGAUAGCUCAAGCCAUGGAAUCAAGGUCUCAUCAGAGUAUUCGAACACAAGAAAGAGACAUCAUCAAAUGUUUUUGGAAACAUUUGAUAAGUAAAUCCCUUUUAAAUGAUAAAAGGGAUUAAUGCAUAACCAAGUUAACCUACGAGCAUAAGCUCUCUCAACAAGAUGUAUAAGAUACACUAGUGAUUGACUUUAGUGCAAGUGGGAGAUUGUUGGAAAUAUGCCCUGAAACUCAAUCUUUGGAAGAAACCUUUCAGGACAAAUGAAUCGAUGUAUGGAUGACUCUUAUACAUCAAAUGGCAAAGAUACUAAUUAGGACUAUCUCAAUAAACGAUAUAUGUCCUUAUUAAUGAAUCCAUGGACAAUGGAUCGAUUGAAGAAGUAAUCUAAUGAUGUUAGACUACAGAGACCUUCUUCACAUAACCAUUAUGUCCAAAAAGGUUCCUGGUCAUUGGAUUCUCGGAGGGACACUGACAAUGCUUAGACCGGUACAUACUGUGUCCACUUCAAAUGGAAGAAUGGAAAGUCUCAUCCCAUUUGUGUAGUGACACUAAGACAAGUAUGUAGGUGCUCAUUAAGGGAAUGAGUUCACUGAACACAAUCGAACGAGAGUACUUGCAUGGAGGUCUACUCACAUGUCAAGCAAGUAACUCUAAUGGUUGGAAUAAUGUAAGUAGUCCUUUGACCUGAGGCAUCGUCGUUGUCUUAUGGCUAAGUACUUAAUCUUUGAUUAUGUCAAAGUCACCUCAUUCGCGGAUGUCCAUGGCAUAAUUGGGGUUAAGCCACUUAGUCAUGAAGGCAAGUGAAUGCGCAACAAGGAAUCUCUAAUCCUCGAUUAGAGAGGAAGAAUACUCUAAGAUAUGAUUCGGGAAUCUUCGGCCGAAGUAUCGAGCGUAAUAAAGGAAAGCGUUCCUAUACGACUCAAUAGAAUCAUAGGCCUCGUUUGGCAGCUCGGACUGUACUGACUAUUUCUGUUGGAUAGGAUAAAUAGCCACCGGAUAGUACUGACUAAAUUAGUCGGGCGUUUGGUGCAGUAUCGGAUUAAUGACCGUAUUAUUUAUACUGUGUUUGGUUUUAUACCGGAUAGGCUAAAUCAAACUUAAAAUUAAAUUAAACUUAUAAAAAUAAAAAUAAAAUCUGAAACCAUCCUUUCUUCUUCCCUGUUCUCUCCUCCGAACCCCUCAAACGCCCUCCCUCUCUCUCCCUUCUUCUUCCCCGCCUGCCUGCACAUUUGGUGAGCAACCAUGAGUCAUCAGAUCCACAUCAACCCAAAUCAAGAUGCAAAAAAUGAAACAAACUAACGAUUUGUUGACAAGGUUACCUCCUGCACUGCAUCAUCGCAAGUGGAAUGGACUGGCGGCGGUUUAACAGAGAGAAGGAGAGUAGUUUGUUGGCGUUUUGAGAAGAGAGGUUUCCCAGACACCAUGCCGGGCAAGAGAGUGCAUGCUUCUUUGCAAGACCCAGUUGCAGGGGAGGACGACGACGUCAACGGGGAUGACGACGACGGCGACGGGGAGGACGACGAUGGUGAGAGGGGAGGACGACGACGGCGACGGGGAGGACGACGAUGGUGAGAGAAGGUGACGGGGGGGGAGGACAACGACGCCUAGAGAGAGAGAGAGAGAGAGAAAAGGCCGAGAGAAGACGAGAGAGAGAGAGGGCCGACUAAUAAUCCCGGCCUUUUGGUUGGUUUUAUUAGUCCGGUGUAUACCGUACUAAAUAAGCACACCGGUUAAUUUAAUCCGGCGCUUAUUUAGUACGAGUGAACGCCAAACACCCGCGUCCGUAUAAUUAGUCCUAUCCGAUCCUCUAUCCGAUCUGCCAAACAGGGCCAUAUAAGAAGAAAUAAUCACAUUAGGGGUUUGACAUAAUAUAUCCAUACCCUAGUAAUGUGAUUGAGAGUAUUGUUUUAGAGAAUGAUCGAAUUACAUUGUAAUUCCAACUGAAUAGGUUCUCCAAACAACUUCUACAUUAGCUUGGGUAGCUAUGACAUAUGGUUAGAUGUCACUCAUAGCUUGUGAGUUCUUCUAGAUGAUUAAAUGUAGUCAUCAAAGAAGAAAGGUGAAUUAAAAUGAAGUUUUAAUUCACUAAGUGAUUGGAUUAAAUAUAAUCAAUUAGAUUGAUGUCAAUCACCUCACUGCCUUGCUAAUUAGAACCUAAAAUGAUUGUACACCGAUACACUCUUGU